GCCUUCGUGGAUCAUAGCGAUCUCCUCGUUUCAAUAAAAUGAAAAUACAGCCCUGAAAAUGGGGAGACGGAGGUUCGAUUCCUCCCGAGGGCA